rnacentral:rRNA from 1 species
CAGCAGCCGCGGGAAUACAGAGGGUGCGAGCGUUAAUCGGAUUUACUGGGCGUAAAGCGUGCGUAGGCGGCUUCUUAAGUCGGAUGUGAAAUCCCUGAGCUUAACUUAGGAAUUGCAUUUGAUACUGGGAAGCUAGAGUAUGGGAGAGGAUGGUAGAAUUCCAGGUGUAGCGGUGAAAUGCGUAGAGAUCUGGAGGAAUACCGAUGGCGAAGGCAGCCAUCUGGCCUAAUACUGACGCUGAGGUACGAAAGCAUGGGGAGCAAACAGGAUUAGAUACCCGAGUAGUCCCUGUCUCUUAUAA